GGGGCUGAUGCUUGUGGUAAGCGUGUUAGCUGUUAACUAAUGUAGUGUGGGAUCGAAGCCCCCCGGCCCCU
rnacentral:tRNA from 1 species